rnacentral:rRNA from 1 species
GACAGAGGGUGCAAACGUUGUUCGGAAUUACUGGGCGUAAAGCGUGUGUAGGCGGUCCACUAAGUCGGGUGUGAAAGCCCCGGGCUCAACCCGGGAAGUGCACUCGAAACUGGUGGGCUAGAGUAUCGGAGAGGUUGGUGGAAUUCUCGGUGUAGAGGUGAAAUUCGUAGAUAUCGAGAGGAACACCGGUGGCGAAGGCGGCCAACUGGACGAAUACUGACGCUGAGACACGAAAGCGUGGGGAGCAAACAGG